GACGAACGCUGGCGGCGUGCCUAAUACAUGCAAGUCGAACGCAGUGGGGACGGGUGAGUAACACGUGGGUAACCUCCCCAUCAGAGGGGAUAACACUUGGAAACAGGUGCUAAACCGAUACUGAUGGAUGGACCCGCGGUGCAUUAGCUAGUUGGUGAGGUAACGGCUCACCAAGGCCACGAUGACUAGCCGCCCGUAGGGGGUGCUCGGCAACACGGGGACUUAGACACGGCCCAGACUCCUGCGGGGUGCAGCAGAAGCGAAUCUUCGGCAAUGAACGAAAGUCUUACCGAGCAACGCCGCGUGAGUGAAGAGGGGUGUCGGAUCGUAAAACUCUGUUGUUAUAGAAGCGGUAUCUAACCAGAAAGCCACGGCUAACUACGUGCCGGCAGCCGCGGAAAUAC
rnacentral:rRNA from 1 species